rnacentral:rRNA from 2 species
UACGGAGGGUGCAAGCGUUAUCCGGAUUUAUUGGGUUUAAAGGGUCCGUAGGCGGAUCUGUAAGUCAGUGGUGAAAUCUCAUAGCUUAACUAUGAAACUGCCAUUGAUACUGCAGGUCUUGAGUAAAGUAGAAGUGGCUGGAAUAAGUAGUGUAGCGGUGAAAUGCAUAGAUAUUACUUAGAACACCAAUUGCGAAGGCAGGUCACUAUGUUUUAACUGACGCUGAUGGACGAAAGCGUGGGGAGCGAAC